rnacentral:rRNA from 1 species
UCAAGCUAGAAAGAGCGCAAGGGGAAUGCCUUGGCAUCAGGAGCCGACGAAGGACGUGACAAGCUGCGAUAAGCUGCGGUGAGCUGCACAUAAGCUUUGACCCGCAGAUUUCCGAAUGGGGAAACCCGGCAGAGCAAUACUCUGUCAGCGUGCGUUGAAUCAAAUAGGCGUACGCGGGGAACCGCCUGAACUGAAACAUCUAAGUAGGGCGAGGAAGAGAAAUCAACCGAGAUUCCGCUAGUAGUGGCGAGCGAACGCGGAAGAGGGCAAACCGGAGGAUUUAUCCUCCGGGGUUGUGGACAGUUUUUUAGCAACUGGAACUAGGAGAACGGUAUGGGAAGGCCGGCCAUAGCGGGUGAUAGCCCCGUAUCCGAAAGGGAAGGUUGUGCGACUGGAUCCAGAGUACCGCCGGACACGUGAAACCCGGUGGGAAGCUGGGGGGACCACCCUCCAACCCUAAAUACUACCUGAUGACCGAUAGAGGAGCAGUACCGUGAGGGAAAGGUGAAAAGGACCCCGGGAGGGGAGUGAAAGAGAACCUGAAACCUUGUGCUUACAAGCACUCAAAGCCCGUUAAAGGGUGAUGAGGUACCUUUUGUAGAAUGGUCCGGCGAGUUAUUGUUACUGGCAAGCUUAAGGCAUUCAGUGCCGGAGGCGCAGGGAGACCGAGUCUGAAUAGGGCGUAUGAAGUCAGUGGCAAUAGACCCGAAACCGGGUGACCUAUCCAUGGGCAGGUUGAAGUGGGGGUAAAACCCCAUGGAGGACCGAACGCACGCCCGUUGCAAUGGUCGGCGAUGACCUGUGGAUAGCGGUGAAAUUCCAAUCGAACUCGGAGAUAGCUGGUUCUCCCCGAAAUAGCUUUAGGGCUAGCGUUGGCUUAGAUUACCGGAGGUAAAGCACUGAAUGGGCUAGGGGCCGAUAAGGUUACUGAACCCUAUCAAACUCUGAAUGCCGGAUAAUUGAUGGCCAGCAGUCAGUCUACGUGAGAUAAGUCUCGUGGACAAAAGGGAAACAGCCCAGACCCACAGCUAAGGUCCCAAAGAUACGCUAAGUGGAAAACGAUGUGGAGUUGCGAAAACAACCAGGAUGUUGGCUUAGAAGCAGCCACUCAUUAAAAGAGUGCGUAAUAGCUCACUGGUCGAGUGACUCUGCGCGGAAAAUAUAACGGGGCUAAGCGUAACACCGAAGCUUGGGCUGCACAGCAAUGUGCGGGGUAGGGGAGCGUCGAAUAUGGGGUGAAGUCGCAGCGGAAGCAGCGGUGGACUGUAUUCGAGUGAGAAUGCCGGAAUGAGUAGCGAGAAUUAUGUGGGAAUCAUAAUGGCCGAAAAUCUAAGGUUUCCUGGGGAAGGUUCGUCCGCCCAGGGUAAGCCGGGAGCUAAGGCGAGGCCGGAAGGCGUAGUCGAUGCACAUACGGUUGAAAUUCCGUAGCCACCGAACCUUAAGUACACUGACACAUGGAGAUAGCGGGACCCGGGCGUUGGUUGACCCGGGCGUAAGGGACCGAACUUUAGUAGGGAAGUCCGCGAUGCUCUGUGGCGAGAAAAGGUGUAUGGUAUGCUAAGGUGCCCGUACCGCAAACCGACACAGGUAGAUGAGGAGAGAAUCCUAAGGCCAACGGGAGAAGGGUUGUUAAGGAACUCGGCAAAAUGACCCCGUAACUUCGGGAUAAGGGGAGCCUCCUACGGGAGGCCGCAGCGAAUAGGCCCAAGCGACUGUUUACCAAAAACACAGGUCUCUGCUAAAUCGAAAGAUGACGUAUAGGGGCUGACGCCUGCCCGGUGCUGGAAGGUUAAGAGGAGAUGUUAGCCGCAAGGCGAAGCAUUGAAUCGAAGCCCCAGUAAACGGCGGCCGUAACUAUAACGGUCCUAAGGUAGCGAAAUUCCUUGUCAGGUAAGUUCUGACCCG